rnacentral:rRNA from 1 species
GACGAACGCUGGCGGCGUGCCUAAUACAUGCAAGUAGAACGCAGUUGCGAACGGUGGAGUAACGCGUAGGUAACUACCUAUUAGAGGGGGAUAACUAUUGGAAACGAUAGCUAAUACCGCAUACUAGUAGAUGGACCUGCGUUGUAUUAGCUAGUAGGUCGGGUAAUGGCCUACCUAGUCAAAGAUACAUAGACGACCUGAGCGGGUGGUCGGCCACCCCGGGAAUGGGGAACCGCCCAAGAUCCUACGGGAGGCAGCAGUAGGGAAUCUUCGGACAUGGGGGGAACGCUGACCGAGCAACGCCGCGGGAGUGAAGAAGGUUUUCGGGUCGUAAAGCUAUGUUGUUAAGGAAGCGGUACUUAAACAGAAAGGGACGGCUAACUACGUGCCAGCAGCCGCGGUAAUAC